rnacentral:misc_RNA from 1 species
AACGUGUGAAAAUCUGGCUCCAAGUCCCAUGUCCUGUUUCUGCACUGUCAUCAAUCAGAAGUCAGCCAGUCUACCAUUUCGUUCAAGAUCUGCAUCCCGUUUUGUGUCGGUGAUUCCUCUCUCUCUCGAAUUGUUACUAGUCUCUCUAUUCUUAAUCAUCCGUUUCACUUUCAUCCAUUGAAUCUUUUUCGCUUCUAUCGAUUGCUGUGCUUUUAUUAUUGUAGAUCAACGUUAAUUUUGCUUUAACGCUAAUUUGCUGCCCUUGUCUUAGAAUCUGGAAACGGAGUCAUUUUUCUAGUUCAUAUUCUUUAGCCAUGGCAUCAUCUUCCUCUGUUACCUCUACAACUCUUUAUUUGUUUCUCUAGAUUGUCAAGGAUCUACCAAAUUCUUCCUCAAAACGCCACAAUUAGCUCAAACUGUCAAAAGGGUUCCCAAAUGUCUUCGAUUCGAAUCGAUUCCUCAAAGCAAUUAGCCACGAGUAGCCUUGUCUUGGGUUAUGCUCUCUGUUCAAGCUUGCUUGCUGUGAUUAACAAGUUUGCCAUUACUAAAUUCAACUACCCUGGUCUUUUAACUGCAUUGCAGUACUUGACCUCUGCAUUGGGCGUAUGGGUUUUAGGCAAAUUAGGAUUUUUGCAUCAUGAUGCCUUCACAUAUGAAACUGCCAAGAAGUUUUUACCCGCUGCUAUUGUUUUCUACCUUGCAAUUUUUACAAAUACCAACCUUCUGAGCCAUGCCAAUGUGGAUACUUUUAUAGUGUUCAGAUCCUUGACACCCCUUUUGGUUGCUGUUGCUGAUGCUGUGUUUAGAAAACAGCCCAUCCCAUCGAAGCUCACUUUCUUGUCCUUGUUUAUCAUUUUGGGUGGUGCUGUUGGGUAUGUGGCCACUGAUUCUGGCUUUACUUUAACUGCCUACUCUUGGGCAUUUGCUUAUUUAGUGACCAUCACUUCGGAGAUGGUUUAUAUCAAGCACAUUGUGUCAAAUUUUGGUUUGAACACAUGGGGUCUUGUGUUGUACAACAAUUUGUUGUCAUUGAUGAUGGCUCCGGUGUUCUGGAUUCUCACAGGAGAGUAUAGGGAGGUGUUUGCUUCUUUGGGUUCAAAGGCUGGGAAUUGGUUCGAAUAUGAUGCAUUUUUUGCAGUUUCUUUGUCCUGUGUGUUUGGUUUGGCUAUUAGUUUUUUUGGAUUUGCGGCAAGGAGGGCGAUAUCUGCAACAGCAUUCACUGUGACUGGUGUAGUUAAUAAGUUUCUUACAGUUGUGAUCAAUGUGCUCAUUUGGGAUAAGCACGCCAGUCCAUUUGGUUUGCUUUGCC